rnacentral:lncRNA from 1 species
CUAAGUAUUUCCUUGGAUGCUCUAAUCGCUACCUUCAUUCAACAGAUCACGGUGAACCCGAAGAAAGAAUUUGAAUAGUCACUCGACCGGUAUCGUACGUUCUAUGAAAGAUUCUCGCGGGAAGGAAUGGAUAUGAGAAAAAAUGCUUAUCGGACCGAAAGAAACUAGGUCACUUACCUCCCCGACUCAGAGGAGUAGGUCAAGGUGAGGUGCCGGGGCGUCGCCGGAAAGCCUAAGCGACGGGGAGAAAGCAAUUCUCAACCCUCUGGCCUUUCCCACUAUUGAAUAGAAGCGAGUGAAUAGAAGCUGAGAGUUGAGGCAUGAGGAUCUUCGUUCUCGUUCGAUCAUGUAAGUGGAUCCCGCGGAUCCUUUCUAUAUAUGCCACCUCGUCUCUGUAUGACCCUGUUUCUAAGUGUAAAGGACGAGCGCUCGGGAAAGGCUUACAAAAUUCCAGUUGUUCACUCUUCAGGAUUCAUUCAAACUUGCCCCACCCAGUUGGAGCUUCUCGUUCAAUUACCGUGCUUGGAUCUCACUAGGCUAUACACCAAGAUUAAAGGCGGGUCGACUUCUUUCGUUUCGUUGUCUCUCUACUCGAUCUCAUCAGCUUGUGAUAAAAUGAAAAAAGCUAUGGCUUUUGUAGCAUUGGAAAAGGCAAGAUUCCUAUCUCCACAGGUCUCUCUUUUAUUACUUUCUUUCUUUCAUAACUUGCUUGGCAUUCUUUCCUAAAAGAAGGUAUUCCCCCGCUAAGGACUUAUGACCUAUCAAUGUUAUUGAACGUAGCAGGAGAACGUCAAAUAUAGGCCAAAGGGCUGUUAGGUUCUUUCAUAUCAUAAGCCUUGUCUUAUCCGCACAAAGCAUCCUUGGCUAUUAGAAUAGGAUAGGCAUCUCCUCUUAAACCUUCUCUGCAUAGCUCUUAUGCGAAUGUGGCCCCUUCGCCGCCUCCACAGAAAGAUUGGUCUGGUCGAUUGGUUACUUCCUUUUUGGAUUAGUCUUAACUCAA